GGGGACUCUGACAGCUGGGUUUUAACAGAGGCUUGAACGCUCUUCCCCCAGCGGGUAUCGAGGAGUCUCCCAAAUGAAGCUAAUCAGAGGCCCCAGCAUCGCUACAGGUUAAACGGCUACUUCUCAGCCUUCGUCGCCUUCAUAUACAGACACCGCCCCAAAGUGCUCACUGACAGGAUGGUGGAUGAAGGCCUGGCUGCCAGAUUGAGCAAACCGAAGAAGCAAGCUGACUUGAACCAGCGGCAGCAGAUUACGAUUGGGUCUGGAGGAGGAGCUCUGGGAGAUGGAAGAAAGGGUAGAAGAGGAAGGGAAAGAAGAAGACUCUGCCCAGAGCACUGAAAGUAAAAGACCAGGAUGCAGCAGAGCUUCCACAACUACUAGAAGGCACCCGUCAGCCUCAGCCCGCUUGAGACAAAGCUGAAGGUUGCCAAGAAGGCUUGAGAGAAAGCCAAGAGAGCAGUCUUCUGGGCUCAAACGGAC